AAAAAAGAAAAGUAGAAGAGGAGAAACGAGCAAAGGAUAAAGGGGCACUUCUAAAAUACUUUGGAGCAUCCUCUGCCACUGCUCAAGAUGAGCCACCCACAGCCCCUGUUUCACAGGAUGAGGAGGAGCCAUCAACCUCAUCAGCUGCACAGGCCUCUUCUGAGGUGGUCCCUGUCCUUGAGGAUGAGCACCAAUCCAUGUCUCCACAAACAUCUCCCUCUACGUCUGCUUCUCCUCAGUAUGAGCCUUCAGAAAUGCCUGGAGCUGAAUGCCCCACUGCUGAGGAGCCUCUGUCAACUGACCCUGCUAAAUGGCCUACACUUCUGACGGACAGGAUUCGGA